GCGCGCCUUUACCUCUGAGCUGGACCCAUGAAAGUCUCCUGAUGAAGGAGGCCCACUAACAGGAAGCGAGUCAACACCCCCCCAGAGGUGAAUUCAACCCCAUGACUCAGCUCCGACGCUGGAGGACAUCUGGAUGGACACAGUGAGGAGCAGAGAGAAGGAGAAGGUCACGAGGAGGAA
rnacentral:lncRNA from 1 species